rnacentral:snRNA from 1 species
ACGAUUCUACUACACACAAU